rnacentral:rRNA from 1 species
UACGAAGGGGGCUAGCGUUGCUCGGAAUUACUGGGCGUAAAGCGAGUGUAGGCGGUCUGAUAAGUCGGGUGUGAAAGCCCCGGGCUCAACCCGGGAAGUGCACUCGAAACUGACAGGCUAGAGUAUCGGAGAGGUUGGUGGAAUUCUCGGUGUAGAGGUGAAAUUCGUAGAUAUCGAGAGGAACACCGGGGGCGAAGGCGGCCAACUGGACGAAUAAUGACGCUGAGACUCGAAAGCGUGGGGAGCAAACCGG